ensembl:lncRNA
GCCUGGUGGCCGCCAAGCCUCAAAGUCGUGACUGAGUCUGCGCGCCGGCUCCUCGAGUUGGGAAGAGCUUGUACUGCGAUGAGGCAGCUUGAUAAGGAGAUCUAUUUCGGAUUAGAGGCACUGAUCCUGGGUAAACGGGAAUGAUUAGAGAAAGUAAAGCUUUAAUCUGUGCAAGAUGGUGAUGGAGGACUACGGUGGCCUGACUGAGGUAGCUAUGGGUACCCGUAAGGGUCAAGACAAGAGAACUGAAGUGUUAAGUGAUUUGGCUCCUGAGCUUCCUUGGCGCUCGGCAUCGGCGGACACGGAGGGUUCUUUCUGGCAAAGGCAAUGACAUACCCAUCUGUGACCUCAUCCCAAAAAUGAACCUAGUUUCUUAGUCCAUGGCAACCAGGAUGCAUGUGACCUUACCUAUGGUUAGAAAACAGAAAGUUUACUGAACUCUGGUAUCGACUAUUCUAUUCUCUACUUCCAGGACAUCAACUUUUUUGGAUUCUUUAUAUGUGAGCUGGGCCAUGUUAAUUUAGUUAAAAAACACUUAAGAGGAUUAUGAAAGAUUUUAAAACUUGAAUAGAAAUGAUGCAAGAAACUGAAGUCUACUUCAUUAUACUCCACUUGAACUUCUCAGUGCUUUGAGUAUGGCGUUGGGAGUACUGGGAAAUGAAAUGAACCUCCUAACAAGAAGCAGCAAUCCUUCGAUCCGGUAAUACUGAGGCAAGAGAAAGGAAGUGCACUAAGGUUUACCCCAUUCAGGUCAGAACUCUUUAAAAUGUUCUAUGAUUUCAAUUCACCACUUCUGUGUCCAGGUGAGCCUCUCUCACAGGGGCUUCUUGGUGGAGCAGUAAUGGAUCUCUACAGUUCACUUGUCUACGUAGAGAUCGUGUUGUACCUGGCAGUAUUCUCCACUGUCCUUCAGAAACUCCAUAAAUGUGUGACCAAGAACUGAGGAAUAUGUCUACUCAUUGAAGAUUGUGGCCUAAUCAUACAGCUGGUUCUGAGGUGGUCGCGAGGUGGACGUUGGCAGCAGCGGGGGCACCAGGUGACCAUGCACCGAGCGGGCAAGAGAGUGUCGUGGACCAGCGCAGCCAGGCAGCCAGGCAGCCAAUACUUGUGCUGGGCCUAGUCCUAUACACCCUUAAUCCCAGUAUUACACACCCAUGAUCCAGCCACCUCUUGAAGCCCCACCUAUGAGCUCAUGAGGCUUUGGGGGAACACCUAGAUAUGAUCUAUAACAGCUACCAAAAGCAGAAACUCCAAGGGGGAAAAUUAACAAGUUGGCUAUUUUUAAAACUCAAAAUGAUCUGUUUAAUUUUUGAAAAUUUGUAAGCCCAGUUUAAAGAAAAAUGCCAAAUGUCAAAUAUGUCAAAAUGUCAUAUAUGUCAAGUAGCCUCAAAUGAAAAGAGCACUUAUACAUUUUUAAAAAUGAAUACUUCAGUAGAGACAUGGGUUAAUAGCAUAAACAGAAUAUAUAUAUAUAUA